GCUACUACUGCUACUGCUACUACUGCUACUGCUACUACUGCUACUGCUACUCUGUGCUAACUACUCCUACUACUACGACGUACGCAUCUGCAAUUUCUUGGAUUUCCCUCUAGAGUUGCAUCGAAGAGUUUCAUUCUCAACAAAAUAAAUAAGUAGAUAAACAUUGUCCGCGGCUGUGGUACGCGGGUGUUGAGGUUGAAGUUGAGCUUGAGCUUGAGGGUUGUUCAUCCGUUUUUCUUGGCUGCUCAGCCCUAUGCACGUACCCGCCCACCCCCCUCCUCCCACAAGGCCAUGACGAUGACGAUGACGAUGAUGAUGAUGAUAAUGCUUGUUUUGUUUUGCUGAUGGACAUAAGUGGACAAUGGCAUGUGGUGUUGUUAACCCGUCAAGAUUUUUUUUUUACUCGUUGCCUGACCUCCACAUUGAACACCAGCGACGGCCCCUCUAAGGGAUUCCCGGGCAAAGAAGAGCGUCUUCCUCGGCUCAACCCAGGUACCUACUGUACCAGCGGGUUUUCUUUUUUCUCUUUCUCUUUUUCUCUUUCGGGGAUAGGAGAGAUAGAUUGGGAAAUAAAGGGUCCAC
rnacentral:sRNA from 2 species